GACGAACGCUGGCGGCGUGCUUAACACAUGCAAGUCGAACGGAAAGGCCCUUCUGUUGUGUCGUGCUCCGAACGCGAACGUGACACUAACACGUGCUUCACCUGCCCUUGACUUUAGCAUAAGUUCAUGGAACUAAUACCGAUUACGGACACGCGCUCCUUCUGCUUUGUUGGGAAGGGUUUGUUUCGGCGGUUGGGGAUGGGCUCGCGGCGUAUCAGCUUGUUGGUGGGGUAGUGGCAUACCAAGGCUUUGACGGGUAGCCGGCCUGAGAGGGUGACCGGCCACACUGGGACUGAGAUACGGCCCAGACUCCUACGGGAGGCAGCAGUGGGGAAUAUUGCACAAUGGGCGGAAGCCUGAUGCAGCAACGCCGCGUGCGGGAUGACGGCCUUCGGGUUGUAAACCGCUUUCGCCAGUGACGAAGCGUAAGUGACGGUAAUUGGUAAAGAAGCACCGGCUAACUACGUG
rnacentral:rRNA from 1 species